UCAUAAAAAUUGUGUAUUAAAGCUAUGUUGUUAUGCUCGCGUAAGCUAACGUUAUGCCGUUACGCUCGCUGAUAUGUUUCUGUUUCUCAGUUUCUGACAAGAACGAGUCAGGAGAGGUGUCUGUGAGGGCAAGCUGCUUCAGGUCAAUGAGGAAAAGCAAGAGACCACACAACUUAAGUAUUGUUCUCAAAGACUCUAAGCCUGUUGAACUGCUGGCAUGCCAGUGCUCAUGUGUGGCAGGGCUUGCGCUAUGCAGUCACAUUGCAGCAUUGCUGUAUCAAACUUCACAUUACAGCCAACAGGGAGCAAUAGCUGUCCCCCCUACUCACUCACAGCUGUACAGGGUCUGAGCAACACUGGCACAAACCCAGGACCCAGGGUUUCAAGCCUGGUCCAACAAAUGAGAUGGUAGUGUUGUCAGCUCGGCCCAAGGAGAGAAGAGUGGCUGAAGGAAUCAGGAGUAACUUAUACAAAGGAGCCUAUAACCUGACCUGUGACCUUCCAGACAUGUCAGUCCA